rnacentral:rRNA from 1 species
CUGGCUCAGAGUGAACGCUGGCGGCGUGCCUAAUACAUGCAAGUCGAACGAUGAAGCUUCUAGCUUGCUAGAAGUGGAUUAGUGGCGCACGGGUGAGUAAGGUAUAGUUAAUCUGCCCUACACAAGAGGACAACAGUUGGAAACGACUGCUAAUACUCUAUACUCCUGCUUAACACAAGUUGAGUAGGGAAAGUUUUUCGGUGUAGGAUGAGACUAUAUAGUAUCAGCUAGUUGGUAAGGUAAUGGCUUACCAAGGCUAUGACGCUUAACUGGUCUGAGAGGAUGAUCAGUCACACUGGAACUGAGACACGGUCCAGACUCCUACGGGAGGCAGCAGUAGGGAAUAUUGCGCAAUGGGGGAAACCCUGACGCAGCAACGCCGCGUGGAGGAUGACACUUUUCGGAGCGUAAACUCCUUUUCUUAGGGAAGAAUUCUGACGGUACCUAAGGAAUAAGCACCGGCUAACUCCGUGCCAGCAGCCGCGGUAAUACGGAGGGUGCAAGCGUUACUCGGAAUCACUGGGCGUAAAGGGCGCGUAGGCGGAUUAUCAAGUCUCUUGUGAAAUCUAAUGGCUUAACCAUUAAACUGCUUGGGAAACUGA